rnacentral:rRNA from 1 species
UGGGGAAUCUUGCACAAUGGGGGCAACCCUGAUGCAGCGACGCCGCGUGAGCGAUGAAGCCCUUCGGGGCGUAAAGCUCUUUCGACCGGAACGAUAAUGACGGUACCGGGAGAAGAAGCUGCGGCUAACUACGUGCCAGCAGCCGCGGUAAUACGUAGGCAGCAAGCGUUGUUCGGAGUUACUGGGCGUAAAGAGUGCGUAGGCGGUUUUCUAAGUUCGGUGUGGAAUCUCCCGGCUUAACUGGGAGGGUGCGCCGAAGACUGGGAAGCUGGAGUGUGGUAAAGGCAGGCGGAACUCCUGAUGUAGCGGUGAAAUGCGUAGAUAUCGGGAGGAACACCGGCGGUGUAGACGGCUUGCUAGACCAUAACUGACGCUGAGGCACGAAAGCGUGGGUAGCAAACA